rnacentral:rRNA from 1 species
GGUGUCCGCAAGGACUUCCGGCACAAGGCUCAGUAACACGUCGAUAAUCUGCCCUUAGGUCUAUGCGAACCUCGGGAAACUGAGGCUAAACUUGAUAGGGGUUACGGACUGGAAUGUUCUUUCCCUUAAUCUAAGGAUGAGUCGGCGGCAGAUUAGGUAGAUGGAGAGGUAACGGCUCACCAUGCCUAAGAUCUGUACGGGCCAUGAGAGUGGUCGCCCGGAGAGGGAUACUGAGAUACUGAUCCCAGCCCUACGGGGUGCAGCAGGCGCGGAAACUUUACAAUGCACGCAAGUGUGAUAAGGGAAUCCAAAGUGCUUACGCUUUGCGUAGGCUUUUGCCAAGUCUAAACAGCUUGGAGAAUAAGUGGUGGGUAAGACUGGUGCCAGCAGCCGCGGUAACCCCAGCGCCACGAGUGGGAGUCGCUUUUAUUGGGCCUAAAGCGUUCGUAGCCUGUUUUGUAAGUCUUUUGUGAAAUUGUUAGGCUUAACCUAACAGCGUGCAAGAGAGACUGCAUUUCUAGAGACCGGGAGGAGUAUGGGGUACUCCAUGGGGAACGGUAAAAUGUAAUAAUCCAUGGAAGACCACCAGUGGCAAAGGCGCCAUACUAGAACGGAUCUGACGGUGAGGGACGAAGGCUAGGGGAGCAAAACGGAUUAGAUACCCGAGUAGUCCUGGCAGUAAACUCUGUAUGCUAGGUGUUGCAUUUUCUUGUGAACGUGCAGUAUCGAAGUGAAGACAUUAAGCAUACCGCCUGGGUAGUACGGUCGCAAGGCUGAAACUUAAAGGAAUUGGCGGGGGAGCACUACAAGGGGUGCAGCGUGCGGUUCAAUCGAACUCUACGCCGAGAAUCUCACCAGGGGCGACUGCAGAAUGAAGAUCAAGCCGAUGACUUUAUCUGACGAGCAGAGAGGUAGUGCAUGGCCGUCGUCAGCUCGUGCCGCAAGGUGUCCUGUUAAGUCAGGCAACGAGCAAGAUCUGCGUCUACUAUUGCCAGCAGGAGGGUAACCUCGGCUGGGCACAUUGUAGAGACUGCCUUGGAAACAAGGAGGAAGGUGCAGGCAACGAUUGGUCUGUAUGCUCCGAAUCUCCUGGGCUACACGCGCGCGACAAUGGAUAGGACAAUGGGCUGCAACACCGAAAGGUGAAGCUAAUCCUCUAAACCUAUUCUUAGUUUGGAUUGAGGAUUGUAACUCAUCCUCAUGACACUGGAAUCCCUAGUAAUCAGAAAUCAUCAUUUUCUGGUGAAUAUGUCCCUGCUCCUUGCACACACCGCCCGUCAAACCAACCGAGCAUAAUUUAGAUGGGGCCGUGCUUGAUUGGUACGUUCGAAUCUAAGUUAAGUGAGGUGGGUUAAGUCGUCACAAGGUA